rnacentral:rRNA from 1 species
GACGAACGCUGGCGGCGUGCUUAACACAUGCAAGUCGAGCGGUAAGGCCUCUUUGGGGGUACACGAGCGGCGAACGGGUGAGUAACACGUGGGUGACCUGCCCCCUACUCUGGGAUAAGCCUGGGAAACUGGGUCUAAUACCGGAUAUGACCUCGUGCUUCAUGGUGUGGGGUGGAAAGCUUUUGUGGUGGGGGAUGGGCCCGCGGCCUAUCAGCUUGUUGGUGGGGUGAUGGCCUACCAAGGCUUCGACGGGUAGCCGGCCUGAGAGGGCGUCCGGCCACACUGGGACUGAGACACGGCCCAGACUCCUACGGGAGGCAGCAGUGGGGAAUAUUGCGCAAUGGGCGGAAGCCUGACGCAGCGACGCCGCGUGGGGGAUGACGGCCUUCGGGUUGUAAACCUCUUUCGACUUCGACGAAGCCUUCGGGUGACGGUAGGGGUGGAAGAAGCACCGGCCAACUACGUGCCAGCAGCCGCGGUAAUACGUAGGGUGCGAGCGUUGUCCGGAAUUAUUGGGCGUAAAGAGCUCGUAGGCGGUGUGUCACGUCGGCCGUGAAAACCUGCAGCUUAACUGUGGGCGUGCGGUCGAUACGGGCAUCACUGGAGUUCGGCAGGGGAGACUGGAAUUCCUGGUGUAGCGGUGAAAUGCGCAGAUAUCAGGAGGAGCACCGGUGGCGAAGGCGGGUCUCUGGGCCGAUACUGACGCUGAGGAGCGAAAGCGUGGGGAGCGAACAGGAUUAGAUACCCUGGUAGUCCACGCCGUAAACGGUGGGCACUAGGUGUGGGGGCCAUUCCACGGUCUCUGUGCCGCAGCUAACGCAUUAAGUGCCCCGCCUGGGGAGUACGGCCGCAAGGCUA